rnacentral:rRNA from 1 species
GAGUAAGUGAAUAAGGGCGCACGGGGGAUGCCUAGGCUCUCAGAGGCGAGGAAGGACGUGCCAAGCUGCGAAAAGCCGCGGGGAUCGGCUGAGGCGAAAUGAUCCGCGGAUGUCCGAAUGGGGCAACCCAGUCCUUUAAGGACUAUGUCGAAAGACAGGCGAACGUGGGGAACUGAAACAUCUAAGUACCCACAGGAGGAGAAAACAACAGUGAUUCCGGUAGUAGUGGCGAGCGAACCCGGAUUAGCCCAAACCCAGGCUGUUUCGGCAGGCUGGGGGUAGUAGGACCUGCAUGAUUUCAAACAAGGAGACGGGAACGGCAUGGGAAGGCCGACCGCAGGGGGUGAGAGUCCCGUACUGGAAUUUUUGUUUGUGAGGCGGGUAUCCUGAGUAGGCCGGGACAGGAGAAAUCCCGGUUGAAUCUGCCGGC